GCUUCCCGCGCCCCACAACUCUCUCCCGGCUACGGCGAGCGGCGAGCGGCACAAAGAGCCGGCGCAGCCGGGGGGCGCAGCGGCCCCUGCCCUUCCCCGCAGAGCCGGGGGCAGAUGAGGGAGAGCCCCGGCCUGGAACUGCUCCCCCCGCUCCCCUUGCCCUUCCCCGCAGAGCCGGGGGCAGGAAGCGAACCCCGUUGUCAACAACCCGUUGUCCCCAAGAACUGCACCCUCCUUCCCAGUUCCAGGAGGGUUCGACGAUCUUUCAGAAUCUGAAGUGGAGGAAUCUGAGGACCACACACCUAUAGUUGAAUCCCCACCAUCUCUGGAUGACUUACCUGGCGUGGAAGCACCAGCAUCUGUGGCCCAGCCAUCUGUAGUGGAAUUGUCAGUAUCUGCAGACCAGCUGGCUGUCAAGGAGCCACCACGUUCUGAUCACCACUUCCUGCUCAUUGUAUAGUCUGCAUCCAGGGAAAGCUCACCUGAGAUCAGAUCACCUGUGGGUGAACUUCCAGGUUUCAAAGUCAAGAUGCACACCUCCAAAUCCACACAGGAUGGCAGUAACACCAUUGAGAAUGUGUUGGCAGCAACAGAGAUUACAUUUGAAUCAUUGGAGAAUCCAGAGGUUUUUGGAGACCCCUAUCAACUUGCCAUGAAUUAUGCAGAGGAACAUAAAAUUCUACAGAUAUUUCAGGAUAUCACAGAAAAACUGCUGUUCCAUAAGCCUGAUGACCCCUUGCAGUUCAUAUUGCAGGAGGUGCAGUCUAUGAUAAAUGCCAGGCAAGCAGAAGCGGAGAAACUAUCAGACUAGAACAAAGAUGUGAAGGUGCUUCUAGAAGAGGUCUUGUGCACUCCUUUUGGCCCUCACUGACCUUGCUGUUGUGGUAUUGCCACACCAUGCCUUCACAGCACCAUGUAGUCAUUAGCAAUAACUUGGAAAAGAUUGCUUUGCUGUUUCUUGCCUGGUUUCUCUGUUUUGUAUGCUUGUGCUUCCUCCUCCCCUUGGGUUUCAAUCCUGCAACCAAGUUUUGGUUUGGAACCACAGACUGAGAUCUAAGCGUGCAUGGAUCUUCAUGCACAUAUGGCACAUCUUGAAGAGGCAGGUCUGCUGAACUUCUAGGCAUAUAAAUGCAUAAAUCUCAUAUUUGGUCCUCUCCACACUCUGCCUCUCUGUGCAAAGAAACUUCACAGCUCAGACAGUGAGAGGACAAAAGCAAGUAGAGUUAAAAAAACAGCCCUGGACAACCCACAGUGUUCUUUUUUCAUGCUGCAUCGGUGGCUUACUGUAUCCAGCUAUGCAGCAGCACCAAUGCAUAUCUCGUACUUUGAUAGUUUGUGUCUGGGCUUUCCCACUACCCCCAGAGCUCCUCUGAUGCUAGAAGCUGUCUCUUUGCCUCUUCCACACACUGGAUACAGCUGUCUCACCCUAAAUCAUCCCUGCUGGACACUGAUCACUCUGUUUUUUGGGGUGGCCCUGCCUGUAUCAUUGUAAGUACAGUGUAUAACCAGAACAGUAAAGCAACAGUUGCACACACCCUUUAUGCUUUCAGGAGACAUUUUCACUCAGGAAUGUGGGAGGUGAAUAAAAGCAAACAAACCAAAACCAAGCACUGGUAGCUCAGAGGAUUAAGAGUCAAGGUACAUUUCACAAGCACAUCAUUUGAACUGUGUUAUACACAAACGGCAAUGCCUGUGAACUGUGUUUAAUUUUUGAAACACUUACAGUCCUUAUUUUCAUACCAUCCAUGUGUCUGCUUCUAAUCUGUAAAAAAAACUUUUUUCUUUCUUUUUCUUGUCUCUUGCCUGACAAUUAUUGAAAAUGUGCAACAGAGCGUACUGUUAUUUGGCUUAAUAGAUUAUCUACAUGAAAUAGAUGUCAGAAAGGGUUUUUAUGUCUCUACAGGCUUUUCCCUUUUUUAGGCAUGUGCUCUAAUUUCCUGAUGAAUGGUGUGUAUUCCCAAAUGACUGUUUCUAUGGCUAUGAAGAGAGCACCAUAAAAACUUUCAUCUAUCUAUUUUUUAAAAAAAAUAAUGUAUGAGGAUUGGGUUGUGUGGUUCUACACAGCACAGCUUGGGCGCCAAAAGUCUGGGAAUAACAGAGGGCAAGUAUUUGGCAUACAAAUUCCAUGUGUGAGAUGAGUUUCCUUUCUAUCUGAGUUUCUCAAAAAGGAUCAGUUAACUCACAUGUUUCAAGAUUGAAGGCAGGUAACCCCUGUCAUUCAUAGGGAAGGGACUUUUUCAAGGUUAUUGUGAGCCUAAAGAUGGCUCAAGAUUCAGAUUAAAUCUUGAUUGGUUUAAUAAUAGUUUUAAUGUAGACUUAGGCAUCUAGGUCCCACUGCAGCAGUGAUAUGGUUUUGAAAUCCUUACUUAUCUCCAGCAACUGGAAAAAUCUGACAGUGAGAAUCUGAGACUGAUCUGCAUACAAAUUCUUGACCAAAAAUGUAUCAGGCUGAAAAAUUAUGCAUACGUGCCCUGUCCUAAUGUACCUCUGUGGAACAGGAAAUGUAUGGAAGCUGAAGAUAGUGUCUGAAGCCUUCUCAUCUCUAUGGUCAUUUGUCAGCACAUUGUCCCAGGAGACAGAGAAGCUGACAUGUCUCUGAAUUUUAUUGCAGAACAGGAUUAGGGUGCCUUGGGGUACAGCCUUCACUGUGUAUUUCCUGCCUCUGUCAUUUGAGUAUUGCAGUUGGUUUUUGUCUUUUGCUUAUGAAAAGCUUUUGACCUGUAAUAUGUUCUCAGACUAUAAGUAUAUGCCUUCAACUUCAUGUCAGCAUUAAGGGAGUUAUGCAAGGUAACAUCCUUAAUUCCUAUCUCAGGUAGGUUGAAAUGAGCUGGAAAGCAGUCUUCUUACAGAUGACAGAAGUUUUGCAAGAGAGGCCAUACCCGGUGUUCCUCAGUAAUCUCAGGGUCACAAUUUUCCUUUGGUGGCCUGGUCACCUCAUCUCACGCUAACAAAGUUGCUGUGUGGCUGCAAGAAUUCCUCCCCAGUACACAUAAGAGAGAGCAUCUGUCUUGUCUCUUUCUCAGAAAAGAGAAUCAGUGUUUUCUGUUCUUUUCUUUCUGUUAAGGAGAGGUCUUUCUCCUUUGAGGACCAGUUUUCUGGAGAUGAAUGAGGCUGUACCCAGGACAAGCUCUGUGGGCCUGGAGUUGGUAUGUGUAGAUGGCAUGAGACUGGGGAAGACAGUGGGCCAAGGAAAAUCCUUUGGCAUUCAGAGUUUGGUGGGGAAGGGUGUAUAUAAUCUCUGAGCAAGGGCCUAGAUCAAAAUUCUUGGGGAGCUUACCAUGAGCUAGGGAGAAAUGUCACUUCCUUCACCUCAAACCUCUCAGUGAUAAAACUUAAUUUUAUAAAAACAAAUAAAAAAAGAUCCUCCAGAAUGUUUGCAGAUUACAGUGUUUACGGUAGUGUCACACAGCUGUAUUUUUUUAUCUGCUUCAGAAUUAUUCUGAAAACUACACUCUAGCUCUAGAAAAAAAAAUCUACUUCACAUUAAGGCACUGCUGUUUGUGUAUAAGAAGUCUUUUCUGUGCUGAAGAAAAGAAGAAAAGUAAGAUUUAAAAUGGAAACUUUUACUGUAGCCUUAAUUCCAGAGUGACUGUCCCUUUUCCACAAUUUCUUUCCAAAACCAUUGGAUCUUUAUUUCUUUUUUGUAAGUGGACAUUUAUCAACAUGACAUUAAACUGUCAUUAAGUUUCUUGCCUUGAGUGCUCAGAAGGAAUUAGCAGUUCCUCGUGUGUAACCGAAACUCUUCCAUAUAAGUCCUUACGGCCCACUAGUCACAGCACAUCUGAAUGCCCUCCAGAGUGCUAAGCAACGUGACUAACAUCUGCUGUUUGCUCUUUCUCCUCUCCAGAAGGGAAAUGGCUGUGCACUGAAGUGCAUUCUUUUAGAAAGGGUGGUUUGGGAUUUUUUUACCACACCUAUGUAUCUCUGUGUGCUUCUAAUGGAUAAGUCAUGAAGUGGAAGGUGUGGAAGUUAGAAGUAAUUUGUAGUUCCCAAGGAUGAUUCCUCUGCAGUAUGAGCUGGGUACUGAGAAAACACAUUAUUUUCAAGGAAGAGAUUUUUUUGUUCCGUGGACAGGCACAGAGGUGCAACACCCAGUUAAUCUGCCAAAUGGCAUGGUCUUACGGUGCCCAGACUGUUUCUGUUGUGAACCUUGUGCUCCUCCAGAGGCAGGACACAGAGGAUCCAAUCAGGAAGAAAGUGCAGUCCCUGUAAAAUAGAGCUCUCAGACCAAAACACCAGUUUCUUUUUCUGCCAUCUCUGUAUGGAACUUGAAAAGACACAGCUGCCCCAAGCAAUACUGAAGUUGCCUGUGUACUGCUUCUAACCAAUGGGGGGAAAAAAGUUGUAGCAGCUGAUUAAAAAUCUUUUGAAAAUUCA